rnacentral:rRNA from 1 species
UGCCAGCAGCCGCGGUAAGACGGAGGGCGCAAGCGUUGUUCGGAAUUACUGGGCGUAAAGCGCGGGCAGGUGGUUCGUUAAGUCGUUUGUGAAAAUCCGGGGCUCAACCCCGUGAAAUGCAAGCGAUACUGGCGAGCUGGAGAUCGGUAGAGGCUAGCGGAAUUCCUGGUGUAGCGGUGGAAUGCGUAGAUAUCAGGAAGAACACCCGUGGCGAAGGCGGCUAGCUGGGCCGAGUCUGACACUCAUCCGCGAAAGCGUGGGGAGCAAACAGGAUUAGAUA